rnacentral:rRNA from 1 species
AUUGAACGCUGGCGGCAAGCCUAACACAUGCAAGUAGAACGAGUGGCGGACGGGUGAGUAAUGUCUGGGAAACUGCCUGAUGGAGGGGGAUAACUACUGGAAACGGUAGCUAAUACCGCAUACCAUCGGAUGUGCACAGAUGGGAUUAGCUAGGAGGUGGGGUAAAGGCGCACCUAGGCGACGAUCCCUAGCUGGUCUGCGAGGAUGACCAUCCACACUGGAACUGAGACACGGUCCAGACUCCUACGGGAGGCAGCAGUGGGGAAUAUUGCACAAUGGUCGCAAGCCUGAUGCAGCCAUGCCGCGUGUAUGAAGAAGGCCUUCGGGUUGUAAAGUACUUUCAGCGGGGAGGCGUUACCCGCAGAAGAAGCACCGGCUAACUCCGUGCCAGCAGCCGCGGUAAUAC